rnacentral:rRNA from 1 species
AUUGAACGCUGGCGGCAGGCCUAACACAUGCAAGUCGAGCGGAUGAAGGGAGCUUGCUCCUGGAUUCAGCGGCGGACGGGUGAGUAAUGCCUAGGAAUCUGCCUGGUAGUGGGGGAUAACGUCCGGAAACGGGCGCUAAUACCGCAUACGUCCUGAGGGAGAAAGUGAGGGAUCUUCGGACCUCACGCUAUCAGAUGAGCCUAGGUCGGAUAGCUAGUUGGUGGGGUAAAGGCCUACCAAGGCGACGAUCCGUAACUGGUCUGAGAGGAUGAUCAGUCACACUGGAACUGAGACACGGUCCAGACUCCUACGGGAGGCAGCAGUGGGGAAUAUUGGACAAUGGGCGAAAGCCUGAUCCAGCCAUGCCGCGUGUGUGAAGAAGGUCUUCGGAUUGUAAAGCACUUUAAGUUGGGAGGAAGGGCAGUAAGUUAAUACCUUGCUGUUUUGACGUUACCAACAGAAUAAGCACCGGCUAACUUCGUG